rnacentral:misc_RNA from 1 species
UGUAGGAGUGAGCCUGCUCGCGAUGCGGUGUGUCAGUCAUUACUUCUCUACCUGAUACACCGCUAUCGCGAGCAGGCUCACUCCUACA